ensembl:snRNA U6 U6 spliceosomal RNA
GUGCUCACUUUGGCAGCACAUAUAGAAAAAUUGGAACAAGACAGAGAAGAUUAGCAUGGUCCCCGCACAAGCAUGACACGCAAGAGUUCUAUCUGAGGAAAAUCAAA